UUGUAAAGCCCUUUUAUGGGGGAAUAGAAAAAGGACGGUACCCCAGUGAAUAAGUCCCGGCUAAGUACGUGCCAGCAGCCGUGGUAAAAUGUAUGGGACAAGCGUCAUCCGGAUGCACUGGGCGUAAAGAGCGUUGAGGCGGUUCCGUACGUUGGGCGUGAAAGCUCCGGGCUUAACUCGGAGAUGUCGUUCAAUACUGCGGGGCUUGAGGACAGCAAAGGAAGGUGGAAUUCCCGGUGUACUGAUGAAAUGCGUAGAUAUCGGGAGGAACAUCCGUGGCGAAGGCGGACUACUGGGCUGUUCCUGACGCUGAAGGCGAAAGCUAGGGGAGCGAACGGGAUUAGAUACCCACGGUAGUCUUAGCUGUUAAACGUAUGGAUUCCUGGGUGUGGGUGGGUGUAAAUUCCCUCUGUGCCGAAGCAAACGCGUUAAGCAUCCCGCUUGGGGACUACGGCCGCAAGGCUAAGACUCAAACGAAUUGACGGGGGCCCGCACAAGCAGCGGAGCGUGUGGUUUAAUUAGAUGCUACACGUAGAACCUUACCUGGGUUUGACAUGCACGUGGUAGGGAACCG
rnacentral:rRNA from 1 species